rnacentral:rRNA from 1 species
GACGAACGCUGGCGGCGUGCCUAAUACAUGCAAGUUGAGCGGUGAAGAUUGGUGCUUGCACCAAUUUGAAGAGCAGCGUACGGGUGAGUAACGCGUGGGGAAUCUGCCUUUGAGCGUGGGACAACAUUUGGAAACGAAUGCUAAUACCGCAUAACAACUUUAAACAUAAGAUUUACGUUUGAAAGAUGCAAUUGCAUCACUCCAAGAUGAUCCCGCGUUGUAUUAGCUAGUUGGUGAGGUAAAGGCUCACCAAGGCGAUGAUACAUAGCCGACCUGAGAGGGUGAUCGGCCACAUUGGGACUGAGACACGGCCCAAACUCCUACGGGAGGCAGCAGUAGGGAACAUUCGGCAAGGGACGAAAGUCUGACCGAGCAACGCCGCGUGAGUGAAGAAGGUUUUCGGAUCGUAAAACUCUGUUGGUAGAGAAGAACGUGGGUGAGAGUGGAAAGCUCAGCAAGUGACGGUAACUACCCAGAAAGGGACGGCUAACUACGUG